rnacentral:tRNA from 1 species
CAAAAUAAAGCUUUAUAGGGAGCAUCUCACUUACGUUGAGAAGGUUUACCGUGGGAUUCGGUUAUAUUUUGA